GCCUGUUUAGUAGAGAUCACUAGAAAAAGUGAAUCUGGAUAUGGAAUUCACCAUGGAUCAACGCUACCAUGGAUUUGACAUCCACCAUGGAUCUACCAGAGAACCAUUUGGUGGGAGUGGCAUGUUCGGCCCUUGGGUUGUAAUGUGAUACAUGUACCAUGUGUCUUUUGUUUUAGUGUAUUUUUAACACAAAUGCAAUAUGUUGGCACACAAGAUAGAAAAUUAUUUAACGG
rnacentral:lncRNA from 1 species